CCUACGGGCGGCAGCAGUGGGGAAUUUUGGACAAUGGGCGCAAGCCUGAUCCAGCUAUUCCGCGUGUGGGAUGACGGCCCUCGGGUUGUAAACCACUUUAGUUGAGAAAGAAAUGGAGUUAUCGAAUAAAUAGCUCUGCUGACGGUACUCUAAGAGUAAGCACCGGCUAACUACGUGCCGGCAGCCGCGGUAAUACGUAGGGUGCGAGCGUUAAUCGGAUUUACGGUGCUUAAAGGGUGUGCGGGCGGGUGAGUAAGACAGAUGUGAAAUCCCCGGGCUUAACCUGGGAAGCGCAGAUGUGACUGCUUGGCUAGAGUGCGGCAGAGGGAGGUGGAAUUCCACGUGUAGCAGUGAAAUGCGUAGAUAUGUGGAAGAACACCGAUGGCGAAGGCAGCCUCCUGGGACGCAACUGACGCUCAUACACGAAAGCGUGGGUAGCAAACAGGAUUAGAUACCCCAGUAGUC
rnacentral:rRNA from 1 species